GGCUCAGAUUGAACGCUGGCGGCAGGCUUAACACAUGCAAGUCGAGCGGAAACGAGAAUAGCUUGCUAUUCGGCGUCGAGCGGCGGACGGGUGAGUAAUGCUUGGGAAUAUGCCUUUGAGUGGGGGACAACAGUUGGAAACGACUGCUAAUACCGCAUAACGUCUACGGACCAAAGGGGGGGAUCUUCGGACCUCUCGCUCAUUGAUUAGCCCAAGUGAGAUUAGCUAGUUGGUAAGGUAAUGGCUUACCAAGGCGACGAUCUCUAGCUGGUUUGAGAGGAUGAUCAGCCACACUGGGACUGAGACACGGCCCAGACUCCUACGGGAGGCAGCAGUGGGGAAUAUUGCACAAUGGGCGAAAGCCUGAUGCAGCCAUGCCGCGUGUGUGAAGAAGGCCUUCGGGUUGUAAAGCACUUUCAGCGAGGAGGAAAGGGUGUUGUUUAAUACGCAACAUCUGUGACGUUACUCGCAGAAGAAGCACCGGCUAACUUCGUGCCAGCAGCCGCGGUAAUACGAGGGGUGCAAGCGUUAAUCGGAAUUACUGGGCGUAAAGCGUGCGUAGGUGGUUUGUUAAGCAAGAUGUGAAAGCCCCGGGCUCAACCUGGGAACUGCAUUUUGAACUGGCAAACUAGAGUAUUGUAGAGGGUAGUGGAAUUUCCAGUGUAGCGGUGAAAUGCGUAGAGAUUGGAAGGAACAUCAGUGGCGAAGGCGGCUACCUGGACAAAUACUGACACUGAGGCACGAAAGCGUGGGGAGCAAACAGGAUUAGAUACCCUGGUAGUCCACGCCGUAAACGAUGUCAACUAGCCGUCUGUGACCUUGAGUCGUGGGUGGCGCAGCUAACGCACUAAGUUGACCGCCUGGGGAGUACGGCCGCAAGGUUAAAACUCAAAUGAAUUGACGGGGGCC
rnacentral:rRNA from 1 species